GUUUAAGUAGCUUAUAUUUAGAGCGUAACAUUGAAGCUGUUAAGGAAGAAAUUUUCUCUUAAAUA
rnacentral:tRNA from 1 species